UUUGCUGUGAUGAGCUCUUACGAUGUAAGAACUCUCACGUAGGGUCUCUCUGUGAAAUAAACUUUCUAUGCUUGUCUUCUGAGCUCA